GCCUUCCUUGUCUGGGGGAGCAUAGCGUACAAUGAUCGUUUAGUGAGGACGCUGAUGCUGGCACCCAAAUAUUAUUACCCGCACCCGCUUUCGAGCGAGUGCAAUUUUUGAAUUC